UCCAGACUCCUACGGGAGGCAGCAGUGGGGGAUAUUGCACAAUGGGGGGAACCCUGAUGCAGCGACGCCGCGUGGGUGAAGGAGCGUUUCGGCGCGUAAAGCCCUAUCGGCAGGGAAGAAGGAGGACGGUACCUGACUAAGAAGCCCCGGCUAACUACGUGCCAGCAGCCGCGGUAAUACGUAGGGGGCAAGCGUUAUCCGGAUUUACUGGGUGUAAAGGGGGCGCAGACGGCAGCGCAAGCCAGGAGUGAAAGCCCGGGGCCCAACCCCGGGACUGCUCUUGGAACUGCGCGGCUGGAGUGCAGGAGGGGCAGGCGGAAUUCCUGGUGUAGCGGUGAAAUGCGUAGAUAUCAGGAGGAACACCGGUGGCGAAGGCGGCCUGCUGGACUGCGACUGACGUUGAGGCCCGAAAGCGUGGGGAGCAAACAGGAUUAGAUACCCCCGUAAAA
rnacentral:rRNA from 1 species